rnacentral:misc_RNA from 1 species
GAUGAAGAACGUAGCGAAAUGCGAUAAGUAGUGUGAAUUGCAGAAUUCAGUGAAUCAUCGAAUCUUUGAACGCACAUUGCGCCCCUUGGUACUCCAUGGGGCAUGCCUGUUCGAGCGUCAUUUACACCCUCAAGCUCAGCUUGGUGUUGGGCGUCUGUCCCGCUUCGUGCGCGGACUCGCCUCAAAUGCAUUGGCAGCGGUCUUGCCAGCUUCUCGCGCAGCACAAUGCGCUUCUAGAGGCUUUGGCGGAUCGGCGUCCAUCAAGUACACCCACAGUUUGACCUCGGAUCAGGUAGGGAUACCCGCUGAACUUAAGCAUAUCAAUAAGCGGAGGA